AUGGGGAUCCUCAACGCCGACCUCGGGACAUCGCUGCUCUACGUCUUCUCCAACACCUUCAAGUACGACGUCGGGCACGAGGACGACGUGUCGGGUGUCCUCUUCCUCAUCAUCUACAGCUUCCUGCUCUUCGCCAUGGUCAAUAUCAUCUUCAUCGCGCUCUUAUAUUUAGGAACGGAGGUAGUACUUGCUAAAUGUGUUUGGUCGGUGCUGAGUAUUGGAUAG
rnacentral:rRNA from 1 species